rnacentral:rRNA from 1 species
AUACGUAGGUGGCAAGCGUUAUCCGGAAUUAUUGGGCGUAAAGAGGGAGCAGGCGGCAGCAAGGGUCUGUGGUGAAAGCCUGAAGCUUAACUUCAGUAAGCCAUAGAAACCAGGCAGCUAGAGUGCAGGAGAGGAUCGUGGAAUUCCAUGUGUAGCGGUGAAAUGCGUAGAUAUAUGGAGGAACACCAGUGGCGAAGGCGCCGAUCUGGCGUGCAACUGACGCUCAGUCCCGAAAGCGUGGGGAGAAAGAAGGAUUAGAUACCCUAGUAUUCCACGCCGUAAACGAUGAGUACUAAGUGUUGGAUGUCAAAGUUCAGUGCUGCAGUUAACGCAAUAAGUACUCCGCCUGAGUAGUACGUUCGCAAGAAUGAAACUCAAAUGAAUUGACGGGG